rnacentral:rRNA from 1 species
GUCUACAGCCAUGCUACCCUGAACAAGCCCGAUCCUGUCUGAUCUUGGAAGCUAAGCAGGGUUGGGCCUGAUUAGUACUUGGAUGGGAGACCACCUAGGAAGACCAGGUGCUGUAGGUG